rnacentral:rRNA from 1 species
GAAACGACUGCUAAGACUGGAUAGGAAACAAAAAGGCAUCUUUUUGUUUUUAAAAGACCUUCUUACGAAGGUAUGCUUAAAGAGGGGCUUGCGCCACAUUAGUUAGUUGGUAGGGUAAAAGCCUACCAAGACGAUGAUGUGUAGCUGGACUGAGAGGUUGAACAGCCACAUUGGGACUGAGACACGGCCCAAACUCCUACGGGAGGCAGCAGUAGGGAAUUUUCGGCAAUGGAGGAAACUCUGACCGAGCAACGCCGCGUGAACGAUGAAGUAUUUCGGUAUGUAAAGUUCUUUUAUUGAAGAAGAAAAAGUAGUGGAAAAACUAUAUUGACGUUAUUCAAUGAAUAAGCCCCGGCUAACUAUGUGCCAGCAGCCGCGGUAAGACAUAGGGGGCGAGCGUUAUCCGGAAUUAUUGGGCGUAAAGGGUGCGUAGGCUGUUAGAUAAGUCUAUAAUUUAAUUUCAGUGCUUAACGCUGUCUUGUUAUAGAAACUGUCUUGACUAGAGUGAGAUAGAGGCAAGCGGAAUUCCAUGUGUAGCGGUAAAAUGUGUAAAUAUAUGGAGGAACACCASAAGCGUAGGCGGCUUGCUGGGUCUUUACUGACGCUGAGGCACGAAAGCGUGGGUAGCAAACAGGAUUAGAUACCCUGGUAGUACACGCCGUAAAAGAUGAGUACUAAGUGUCGGGGUAAAACUCGGUACUGAAGUUAACACAUUAAGUACUCCGCCUGAGUAGUACGUACGCAAGUAUGAAACUUAAAGGAAUUGACGGGACUCCGCACAAGCGGUGGAUCAUGUUGUUUAAUUCGAAGAUACACGAAAAAUCUUAACAGGUCUUGACAUACUCUGCAAAGCUAUAGAAAUAUAGUGGAGGUUAUCAGGGAUACAGGUGGUGCAUGGUUGUCGUCAGUUCGUGUCGUGAGAUGUUAGGUUAAGUCCUAAAACGAGCGCAACCCUUGUCGUUAAUUGCCAGCACGUAAUGGUGGGGAAUUCAGCGAGACUGCCAAUUAAACAUUGGAGGAAGGUGAGGAUUACGUCAAAUCAUCAUGCCCCUUAUGAUCUGGGCUACAAACGUGAUACAAUGGCUGUGACAAAGAGUAGCUGAAACGCGAGUUUUUAGCCAAUCUCAAAAAAGCAGUCUCAGUUCGGAUUGAAGUCUGUAACUCGACUUCAUGAAGUUGGAAUCGCUAGUAAUCGCGAAUCAGCAUGUCGCGGUACAUACGUUCUCGGGGUUUGUACACACCGCCCGUCAAA